GAAGAAGCACCGGCUAACUCCGUGCCAGCAGCCGCGGUAAUACGGAGGGUGCGAGCGUUAAUCGGAAUUACUGGGCGUAAAGCGCAUGCAGGCGGCCUGUUAAGUCAGAUGUGAAAGCCCGGGGCUUAACCUCGGAAUUGCAUUUGAAACUGGCAGGCUAGAGUCUUGUAGAGGGGGUAGAAUUUCAGGUGUAGCGGUGAAAUGCGUAGAGAUCUGAAGGAAUACCAGUGGCGAAGGCGGCCCCCUGGACAAAGACUGACGCUCAGAUGCGAAAGCGUGGGGAGCAAACAGGAUUAGAUACCCUGGUAG
rnacentral:rRNA from 1 species